rnacentral:rRNA from 1 species
AACAAACGCUGGCGGCGUGCCUAAUACAUGCAAGUCGAACGAGGAAAGCUUUCGGGUGAGUACUAGUGGCGCACGGGUGAGGAAUAUAUGGGUAAUCUGCCCUCGAGUUGGGGAUAACCAGUCGAAAGACUGGCUAAUACUGAAUAAGACCACAGGAUCUGCGGAUCUAGGGGUUAAAGGUUUUUCGCUUGAGGAUGAGCCCAUACGGGAUUAGCUAGUUAGCGAGGUAAUGGCUCACCAAGGCUACGAUCCCUAACUGGUCUUAGAGGAUGAUCAGUCACACUGGAACUGAGACACGGUCCAGACUCCUGCGGGAGGCAGCAGUAGGGAAUAUUGCACAAUGGGGGAAACCCUGAUGCAGCGACGCCGCGUGAGUGAUGAAGGCCUUCGGGUCGUAAAGCUCUGUCGUAUGGGACUAACACAAUGAAGGUACCAUGCAAGAAAGGAUCGGCUAACUUCGUGCCAGCAGCCGCGGUAA